rnacentral:rRNA from 1 species
UACGUAGGGUGCAAGCGUUGUCCGGAAUUAUUGGGCGUAAAGAGCUCGUAGGCGGUCUGUCACGUCGGCUGUGAAAACCUGGGGCUCAACUCCGGGCCUGCAGCCGAUACGGGCAGACUAGAGUUCGGCAGGGGAGACUGGAAUUCCUGGUGUAGCGGUGAAAUGCGCAGAUAUCAGGAGGAACACCAAUGGCGAAGGCAGCUCACUAGGUCUGGAUUGACGCUCAGGGACGAAAGCGUGGGGAGCAAACAGG